CAGCCGCCGCGGUAAUACAGAGGGUGCAAGCGUUAAUCGGAUUUACUGGGCGUAAAGGGCGCGUAGGUGGUUAUUUAAGUGAGAUGUGAAAGCCCCGGGCUUAACCUGGGAACUGCAUCUUAUACUGGGUAACUGGAGUGCAGUAGAGGGUAGUGGAAUUUCCGGUGUAGCGGUGAAAUGCGUAGAUAUCGGAAGGAACACCAGUGGCGAAGGCGGCUACCUGGACUGAGACUGACACUGAGGCGCGAGAGCGUGGGGAGCAAACAGGAUUAGAUACCCCGGUAGUCCCUGUCUCUUUACC
rnacentral:rRNA from 1 species